CUGGUAAUAAAUUAGUCCCUACCUACCCUCGAAGCAUGACUUCUCUCUCUUGGCAGCUUACCCAGUCAGCAGCUUGUUUCCGGAGCAAGCCAUGAUGAAAGAAAAUGAAGAACAACUUAUUUUGUGUAUGGCAAGUGGGUUCUACCCCACAAACAUUACUGUAACAUGGAAAAAGUGGACCCAGAAGGAUCCCCAGUAUGUGGAGUUUUCUGAGGGCGUCUUCACUAAUUGUACCACCAAAAAUGAGGAUGGCAUGUUUAAUGUCACUAGCUUCUUGAUGCUAAAGCCCUCUCUGGAAGACAAUAUGACCAUCUACCAGUGUGUGGUAUGGCACAAAUCCUUGCCUACCUCCCAGAGGCUCAACUUCACCUUGACUAUGAUAGUUCCGGAGGCUGAACGUUUGUGAUCAUUGCGCCAGCAUGGUUGGGAUCUCAGAAGUCAGCUUAUACUCUGAAGUACGUUUUUCUCUGUGCUGGAAUAAUCUUAGUAAUUGUACUGAUUUUAUCUAUUUUUUGGAAACAGGUACUACAUCAAACAAAUACCUUAUUCUCCAUCUUGAAAGCUUAUUCUCGGAACACCCAAAUUGACACGAGAGAGUAAACAACUAUAAUGAGGUGCUUUCAUUAUGAUGCAUUCAUGGCUUAUUCUGAUGGGGGAACCACUAGAAGAACAUUGGAAGUUCUUACACAGAAACAGCAGAAACACCAAGGUUUCUCAGUGAAUGCAUCUGUAACUGAAAUUACUUUUCCUGGUGGCUUAGAUAGCUUGCUCAAGAGCAGACUGUUCAAGGUGCCUUCCUUGAUAGCCUCCUGCCAAUCAGCUUAUCCAAGAAAAAGAGAGCAACACUUUCCAAAGAAGACAUACUACAGAUGGCCAAAAGACACAUGAAAAAGGUGCUCGA